UUGAUCAUAUUUCAGAAUCAGAUUGAUUGGUUAAAAUACGGUUCCCUGAUUGGUGUUUUUGGCUUUGUUUUCUGUUUCAAUAUUGGUCCUGGAUCCAUACCAUGGUUUAUUGUUGCCGAAAUGUUUACUCAACAGUCAAAAUCCUCAGCCAUGACAAUUUCUGUAUUCUUUAAUUUUUUGUCUGCAUCCAUAGUAUCAUUUGUCUUCCCAGAUAUUCAAAAACACAUCAAAGAAUAUUCGUUUGUGCCAUUUAUCGGCUUGAUUGUACUAUUUUUGAUUUACUUCUAUUUUAAACUACCAGAAACCAAGGGUAAAACAAUUGAAGAAAUAGCUGACCAAUUUCGAUCAAAGAAAACAAAGUCGAUGUUAAAACUUAUUGAGAGUGAUGCUGUAUCCAAUUCAAUUGAUUACUCUACCGAAACGCUAUCCACACAGUUAUAGAAUUGCAAAGACGUUCUUCUACCUGAACGGGUGCGGCCUUUCUGAAUUCGAGAACAAAAUUAUAAGUAUGAUUGACAUUUAUGUGAUGAUUUAAUUUCGGAGAUGAAAUGCACGUAGGUAGAUAAAAAAAUGCGAUGUUGAUGUUUAACCGACUUUGUUGUGUUCAACAGUCGACAGUUUAAGUCAAAAUGAAAUAAAUUAAAAUCUACCGAAAGUUCAAUCGUUACACAUGUGGCAAAUUAAAACAGCACUUCCAAUCAUUCCAUUAAAA